UACGUAGGAGGCGAGCGUUGUCCGGAGUUACUGGGCGUAAAGGGCGCGUAGGCGGCUCAUGAAGGCUGUGGUGAAAGUCCGGGGCUCAACCUCGGAUCGGCCGUGGCGACUCGUGGGCUGGAGCACUGUAGAGGCGGGUGGAAUUCCGGGUGUAGCGGUGGAAUGCGUAGAGAUCCGGAAGAACACCAGUGGCGAAGGCGGCCCGCUGGGCAGUGGCUGACGCUGAAGCGCGACAGCGUGGGGAGCAAACAGGA
rnacentral:rRNA from 1 species